ensembl:lncRNA
GAGGUAUUCCCGAGGCAAGCACAGGGAUCCGGGGGCUGCUGGCUGGGCUGCCCAGGCCCCGUCUUCAGGGAGUGCUGAGCAGAAGGGGCACCACCACCUUGGAGGUGAUGAGAGGGUACCCCUCCUCGGCCCUUGAUGCUUCAGGAAUCCCUCCUGGGCCCCACCCUCGGCUCCAGCUGCUGUCCCCCACUUCCUGUUGCUAGAAAGCUCCACUCAGAAAGCUCUUGACUCAUCUCGACAAGUCACAGUGGCCCGAGACCAGAACUCCGCUCCUUCUAUCUAUUCAAACUUCUAAUGAAUGUCCUGUGCAGUGUGGGAAGGGGACCAGUCUCAAAACCACUGAGACCACAAAGUCUGCAAAUCCUCCUCCUUAAAGCAGCGGUCUCUAACCUUGUUGACACCAUGAGCAUGGGAGACAAUUUUUCCAUGGACCCGGGGGAGGGGGGAUGGUUUGGGGAUGAUUCAAGUGUAUUACAUAUAUCGCGCACUUUAUUUCUAUUAUUAUUCUUACAUCAACUCAGAUCAUCAGACAUCAGAUUCCAGAGGGUGGGGACCCCUGUCUUAAAGGAUGCAGAUGGGCCCAGCUGAGCCUGUCCUUGUGACCUCAGAAGGCCUGGUCUCCAGGGUCCUUCCUGAGUUUCCCUACCUGGACACCCUUUCAGGGGACGCCAGACAAGCAAUGACAAAGCAGGUGAUUGCUCUCUUCUGGUCCUGGGGGCUGCAUGGGUUUGAACCCAGGCUCACCAUCUAUGCAGGUUUGCCCAAGUCACCUCCUGGGCCCAUUUCCUUGCCUGUAAAAUGGGGAUGUAAUCCCUACCUCACGGGACUGUUGUGUAAAGUGUGUAGAGCAGGGCCUGGCAGACCCGUGACACCAGCCAGCCACAGUCCCCCUA